GAUGAACGCUAGCGAUAGGCUUAACACAUGCAAGUCGAGGGGCAUCAGGGCUUUCGGGCCGCUGGCGACCGGCGCACGGGUGAGUAACACGUAUGCAACCUACCUAUAACCCGGGGACAGCCCGGAGAAAUCCGGAUUAAUACCCGAUAACACAGGGAUGCCGCAUGGCAAUAUUUGUUAAAGAUUCAUUGGUUAUAGAUGGGCAUGCGUUCCAUUAGGUAGUUGGUAGAGGUAACGGCUCACCAAGCCUGCGAUGGAUAGGGGAACUGAGAGGUUUAUCCCCCACACUGGUACUGAGACACGGACCAGACUCCUACGGGAGGCAGCAGUGAGGAAUAUUGGUCAAUGGGCGCAAGCCUGAACCAGCCAAAUCGCGUGAAGGACGACGGUAUUAUGUAUUGUAAACUUCUUUUGUAAGAGAAUAAAGUGGGGGACGUGUCCCCUUUUGUAUGUACCUUACGAAUAAGCAUCGGCUAACUCCGUGCCAGCAGCCGCAGUAAUAC
rnacentral:rRNA from 1 species